rnacentral:rRNA from 1 species
GACGAACGCUGGCGGCGUGCUUAACACAUGCAAGUCGAACGGAAAGGCCCUGCUUUUGUGGGGUGCUCGAGUGGCGAACGGGUGAGUAACACGUGAGUAACCUGCCCUUGACUUUGGGAUAACUUCAGGAAACUGGGGCUAAUACCGGAUAGGAGCUCCUGCUGCAUGGUGGGGGUUGGAAAGUUUCGGCGGUUGGGGAUGGACUCGCGGCUUAUCAGCUUGUUGGUGGGGUAGUGGCUUACCAAGGCUUUGACGGGUAGCCGGCCUGAGAGGGUGACCGGCAGCGUUGGGGGUGAGACACGACCCGGAGCGGUGGGGGAGGAAGAAGGGGGAAACAGAGGACGGGGGGCGGGAGGCCGCUGCAGCAAGGCGGCGGGGGGGAUGACGGGCGUCGGGUUGUAACCCGCGUUCGCCUGUGACGAGGCGUGAGUGAGGGAAGUGUGAAAAGAGGGAAAGGAUAAACGCGCGCCAUCAGCUGGGAUAAUAAGCGGAAGAGCAUCCGCCAGAUC